AUCAAGCCGAUGAGUCCCAAAUAGGACGAAAUACGUAUCUGAGAU
rnacentral:hammerhead_ribozyme from 1 species